rnacentral:rRNA from 1 species
CGGAUCGGAGCUGNAACCCGACUCCGUGAAGCUGGAUUCGCUAGUAAUCGCGCAUCAGCCAUGGCGCGGUGAAUACGUUCCCGGGCCUUGUACACACCGCCCGUCAAGCCAUGGGAGCCGGGGGUGCUUGAAGUGCGUCGCCGCAAGGCGCGCCCUAGAGCAAAACCGGUGACUGGGGCUAAGUCGUAACAAGGUACC